UACGAAGGGGGCUAGCGUUGCUCGGAAUUACUGGGCGUAAAGGGCGCGUAGGCGGAUGUUUAAGGCAGAGGUGAAAGCCCAGGGCUCAACCUUGGAACUGCCUUUGAUACUGGGCAUCUUGAGUAUGGGAGAGGUGAGUGGAACUCCGAGUGUAGAGGUGAAAUUCGUAGAUAUUCGGAAGAACACCAGUGGCGAAGGCGACUCACUGGCCCAUUACUGACGCUGAGGCGCGAAAGCGUGGGGAGCAAACAGG
rnacentral:rRNA from 1 species